rnacentral:rRNA from 1 species
GAUGAACGCUAGNUACAGGCUUAACACAUGCAAGUCGAGGGGAAACGACAUCGAAAGCUUGCUUUUGAUGGGCGUCGACCGGCGCACGGGUGAGUAACGCGUAUCCAACCUUCCCGCAAGUAAAGGGAUAACCCGUAGAAAUGCGGCCUAAUACCUUAUGUUUUCCUUAGAGGGCAUCUGAUGAGGAACAAAGAUCCGUCGCUUGCGGAUGGGGAUGCGUCUGAUUAGUUAGUCGGCGGGGUAACGGCCCACCGAGACGACGAUCAGUAGGGGUUCUGAGAGGAAAGUCCCCCACAUUGGAACUGAGACACGGUCCAAACUCCUACGGGAGGCAGCAGUGAGGAAUAUUGGUCAAUGGACGAGAGUCUGAACCAGCCAAGUAGCGUGCAGGAUGACGGCCCUAUGGGUUGUAAACUGCUUUUAUGUGGGAAUAAAGUGAGGGACGUGUCCCUUUUUGUAGGUACCACAUGAAUAAGGACCGGCUAAUUCCGUG